AGAAUCAACGCUGGCGGCGUGCCUAACACAUGCAAGUCGAACGAGAAAGUGGAGCAAUCCAUGAGUAAAGUGGCGACCGGGUGAGUAACACGUGACUACCUACCCUUGAGUGGGGGAUAACCUCGGGAAACCGAGGCUAAUACCGCAUAAUAUCGAAAGAUCAAAGGAGUAAUCCGCUUUUGGAGGGGGUCGCGGCUGAUUAGCUAGUUGGUAGGGUAAUGGCCUACCAAGGCGAAGAUCGGUAUCCGGCCUGAGAGGGCGCACGGACACACUGGAACUGAAACACGGUCCAGACUCCUACGGGAGGCAGCAGUGGGGAAUUUUGCGCAAUGGGGGAAACCCUGACGCAGCAACGCCGCGUGGAGGAUGAAGCCCCUUGGGGUGUAAACUCCUUUCGACCGGAAAUAUGAUGGUACCGGUGGAAGAAGCACCGGCUAACUCUGUGCCAGCAGCCGC
rnacentral:rRNA from 1 species